rnacentral:tRNA from 1 species
GGCGGUUUGACUCAGUGGUAGAGCAUCUGCUUGGCGUGCAGAAAACCCCAGGUUCAGUCCCCGGUAUCUCCA